rnacentral:snoRNA from 1 species
CUACGUGAUGAUAAAAUCUCAGACCUGUACCGAUAUCGUAAGAUAAUAUGCGGACAACAUAGAUUGCCAAUUAAUUUCUGACU